GACGAACGCUGGCGGCGUGCUUAACACAUGCAAGUCGAACGGAAAGGCCCUGCUUUUGUGGGGUGCUCGAGUGGCGAACGGGUGAGUAACACGUGAGUAACCUGCCCUUGACUUUGGGAUAACUUCAGGAAACUGGGGCUAAUACCGGAUAGGAGCUCCUGCUGCAUGGUGGGGGUUGGAAAGUUUCGGCGGGUGGGGAUGGACUCGCGGCUUAUCAGCUUGUUGGUGGGGUAGUGGCUUACCAAGGCUUUGACGGGUAGCCGGCCUGAGAGGGUGACCGGCCACAUUGGGACUGAGAUACGGCCCAGACUCCUACGGGAGGCAGCAGUGGGGAAUAUUGCACAAUGGGCGGAAGCCUGAUGCAGAAACGCCGCGUGUGGGAUGACGGCCUUCGGGUUGUAAACCGCUUUCGCCUGUGACGAAGCGUGAGUGACGGUAAUGGGUAAAGAAGCACCGGCUAACUACGUG
rnacentral:rRNA from 1 species